CUUUAGUUAUUGUAUCUACUUUCUUUGUAGCUCUCUCUGUUACUGUGUUUUGGGUUUCGACACCUUUUGUUUGGAUAGGGUUUGACGUUACUCCCUUUGUUGAAGCCUUUUGAAUUGUUUUCUUUUCUAUUGUUGCGUCCUGAGUUGUCGUCACCUGUGCUGAUGUAUCUGUUUUUAUUGUUUCUUGUGAUGAGGUUUUUGGUGGAGUGUUUCCUUCAGUUGUUGUUUCAAAAACU
rnacentral:lncRNA from 1 species